UACGUAGGGGGCAAGCGUUGUCCGGAAUUAUUGGGCGUAAAGAGCGCGUAGGCGGUCCGAUAAGUCGGCUGUGAAAGUCAGGGGCUCAACCCUUGAAAGCCGGCCGAUACUGUCGGACUAGAGUCCGGAAGAGGCGAGUGGAAUUCCCGGUGUAGCGGUGAAAUGCGCAGAUAUCGGGAGGAACACCCGUGGCGAAAGCGGCUACUCUGGGACCACUACUGACGCUGAGGCGCGAAAGCUAGGG
rnacentral:rRNA from 1 species